AACCCAUUUGAUGGUGUGCUCUCAUCAUCUUCUACCUUCUCGAAAUGGGAACUUGGUGAGUUAUUCAUAAGCCUUGCUCUACAGCUUCUACUCCUGAUAAAAAAUCUCCUUGAUUCAGACAGGCUUUCUUUCAGCAGCCAUGGAGAGGGCUUUUCAGGAGAUGGUAUAAUAAAAGUGGAAUGCAAAUCAUUCAACUCUUUCUGUUCCUUCAAUGGGGGAGACUUUAAUUCUUGAUUUGCUCUUUCUUCAUUGCCGAUCUUUGUUAAACCUAAGGUAUCGGUUUUUAUAUCUGGAGAAGGCCCAUCAGAUUCUUCAAAUCUGUAUGGCCUAGACUCAGACAUCUUCGAAUUUGAAUAUUGGUUUAUGCUUGGCUCUUCCACUUCAACGCAUUGAACUUCCUUCCAAUGACCAUCAAAGUUUUGACUAGUUCGUUCUUCGGCAUCCUUUUUCUCAUGCAGACCAUUUCCUACAAAGUCAGUGGUUGUAUCUGAGUCCUCCGGAGAUAAACUUUCUGGAAGAAAAUUCUCUUCAAACUCUGGGAAUUGGAUGAAGGUUGCUUCAGAACUUCUGCUACUUCGCUCAUCCGAACAUUGAGAUGCAUCAAAA
rnacentral:lncRNA from 1 species